ACUAAGCCUCCCUGGAGCCGCGGGAUGUUCAGAGCGCAAGCGCACACUCUCCCCGCUGAGGGCUUCGGGAGCCCCCUGGUGACAAAACUGGAGGCCCAGGUGAAGCCUACACUCUCCCCCAAUACCACUCCACUCCUGCUCCACCCCCGGUCCCCUUAAUCCGGUGAUGGGUGGGAGGCAUGACGUCUUGAGGGCGCAGUGAUGCGUACCUUUAGUCCCACUUGAUAGACAGGAGAAUACUGAAAAUGGCAGAAUUCAAAGAGGAACCCAGGAAGCACCGUUCAGAUGACACUCUAGGCCCAUCCCACCACAGUGCAGUGAAGAGCUUGCCAGAAGCCCCUUUUUCAGUCCUUGGGAAGAGUUUAAAACAAAUUCUGAGACAACGAACAAAGAGAAAGCGGGAAAAAUGAACCCCAAAGGACAGGAGGUGACUGAGGCUCUUCAGCAUGGCGCUGGUUCUGCAUUCACAGCUCAGCACCUCAACGCCUGCUGACGUGUCC